rnacentral:rRNA from 1 species
UACAGAGGGGGCAAGCGUUGUUCGGAAUUACUGGGCGUAAAGGGCGCGUAGGCGGCCUGCUAAGUCGAACGUGAAAGCCCCCGGCUCAACUGGGGAGGGUCACGCGAUACUGGUCGACUCGAAGGCAGGAGAGGGUAGUGGAAUUCCCGGUGUAGUGGUGAAAUGCGUAGAUAUCGGGAGGAACACCGGUGGCGAAGGCGGCAUCCUGGACCAAUAUUGACGCUGAGGAGCGAAAGCCAGGGGAGCAAACGGG